rnacentral:rRNA from 1 species
GACGAACGCUGGCGGCGUGCUUAACACAUGCAAGUCGAACGGUGAAGCGAGUGCUUGCACUCGUGGAUCAGUGGCGAACGGGUGAGUAACACGUGAGUAACCUGCCCAUCACUCUGGGAUAAGCACUGGAAACGGUGUCUAAUACUGGAUACGACCAACCCUUGCAUGGGGUGUUGGUGGAAAGAUUUAUCGGUGAUGGAUGGACUCGCGGCCUAUCAGCUUGUUGGCGGGGUAAUGGCCCACCAAGGCGACGACGGGUAGCCGGCCUGAGAGGGUGACCGGCCACACUGGGACUGAGACACGGCCCAGACUCCUACGGGAGGCAGCAGUGGGGAAUAUUGCACAAUGGGCGGAAGCCUGAUGCAGCGACGCCGCGUGAGGGAUGACGGCCUUCGGGUUGUAAACCUCUGUCAGCAGGGAAGAAGCGAAAGUGACGGUACCUGCAGAAGAAGCACCGGCUAACUACGUG